GACGAACGCUGGCGGCGUGCUUAACACAUGCAAGUCGAACGGAGAGGCCCUGCUUUUGUGGGGUGCUCGAGUGGCGAACGGGUGAGUAACACGUGAGUAACCUGCCCUUGACUUUGGGAUAACUUCAGGAAACUGGGGCUAAUACCGGAUAGGAGCUCCUGCUGCAUGGUGGGGGUUGGAAAGUUUCGGCGGUUGGGGAUGGACUCGCGGCGUAUCAGCUUGUUGGUGGGGUAGUGGCUUACCAAGGCUUUGACGGGUAGCCGGCCUGAGAGGGUGACCGGCCACAUUGGGACUGAGAUACGGCCCAGACUCCUACGGGAGGCAGCAGUGGGGAAUAUUGCACAAUGGGCGGAAGCCUGAUGCAGCAACGCCGCGUGCGGGAUGACGGCCUUCGGGUUGUAAACCGCUUUCGCCUGUGACGAAGCGUGAGUGACGGUAAUGGGUAAAGAAGCACCGGCUAACUACGUG
rnacentral:rRNA from 1 species